rnacentral:rRNA from 1 species
CAUGCAAGUCGAGCGGUAGAGAGGUGCUUGCACCUCUUGAGAGCGGCGGACGGGUGAGUAAUACCUAGGAAUCUGCCUGGUAGUGGGGGAUAACGUUCGGAAACGGACGCUAAUACCGCAUACGUCCUACGGGAGAAAGCAGGGGACCUUCGGGCCUUGCGCUAUCAGAUGAGCCUAGGUCGGAUUAGCUAGUUGGUGAGGUAAUGGCUCACCAAGGCUACGAUCCGUAACUGGUCUGAGAGGAUGAUCAGUCACACUGGAACUGAGACACGGUCCAGACUCCUACGGGAGGCAGCAGUGGGGAAUAUUGGACAAUGGGCGAAAGCCUGAUCCAGCCAUGCCGCGUGUGUGAAGAAGGUCUUCGGAUUGUAAAGCACUUUAAGUUGGGAGGAAGGGCAUUAACCUAAUACGUUAGUGUUUUGACGUUACCGACAGAAUAAGCACCGGCUAACUCUGUGCCAGCAGCCGCGGUAAUACAGAGGGUGCAAGCGUUAAUCGGAAUUACUGGGCGUAAAGCGCGCGUAGGUGGUUUGUUAAGUUGAAUGUGAAAUCCCCGGGCUCAACCUGGGAACUGCAUCCAAAACUGGCAAGCUAGAGUAUGGUA